ACGGAAGGCAGCAGUGGGGAAUAUUGCACAAUGGGGGAAACCCUGAUGCAGCGACGCCGCGUGAGUGAAGAAGUAUUUCGGUAUGUAAAGCUCUAUCAGCAGGAAAGAAAAUGACGGUACCUGACUAAGAAGCCCCGGCUAACUACGUGCCAGCAGCCGCGGUAAUACGUAGGGGGCAAGCGUUAUCCGGAUUUACUGGGUGUAAAGGGAGCGUAGGCGGCACGGCAAGCCAGAAGUGAAAACCCAGGGCUUAACUCUGGGAUGCUUUUGGAACUGUCGAGCUAGAUUGCAGGAGAGGUAAGUGGAAUUCCUAGUGUAGCGGUGAAAUGCGUAGAUAUUAGGAGGAACACCAGUGGCGAAGGCGGCUUACUGGACUGUAAAUGACGCUGAGGCUCGAAAGCGUGGGGAGCAAACAGGAUUAGAUACCCUGGUA
rnacentral:rRNA from 1 species